rnacentral:rRNA from 1 species
CCCUUAGAUGUUCUGAACCGCACGCGUGUUACACUGAUGCAUUCAACGAGCUUUACCUUGGCCGAGAGGCCUGGGAAAUCUUUUUAGCAUGCAUCGUGAUAGGGAUUGAUUAUUGCAAUUAUUAAUCAUGAACGAGGAAUUCCUAGUAAACGCAUUUCAUCAAAAUGCAUUGAUUACGUCCCUGCUCUUUGUACACACCGCCCGUCGCACCUACCGAUUGAGUGGUCCGGUGAAGUCUCGAGAUUGUGGCAAUCUCCUUUAUUGGAGUUUGACUGCGAGAACUUGCCUAAACCUUAUCACUUAGAGGAAGGUGAAGUCGUAACA